rnacentral:rRNA from 1 species
UACGUAGGUGGCAAGCGUUGUCCGGAAUUAUUGGGCGUAAAGCGCGCGCAGGCGGUUUCUUAAGUCUGAUGUGAAAGCCCCCGGCUCAACCGGGGAGGGUCAUUGGAAACUGGGGAACUUGAGUGCAGAAGAGAAGAGCGGAAUUCCACGUGUAGCGGUGAAAUGCGUAGAGAUGUGGAGGAACACCAGUGGCGAAGGCGGCUCUUUGGUCUGUAACUGACGCUGAGGCGCGAAAGCGUGGGGAGCAAACAGG